rnacentral:lncRNA from 1 species
CAGGAGUCACAGUCUGUACUUUCAUGCACAUGUCCUCGAAAUGGCAAAGAAGGAGAACUUCAAGAGCAUCCUAAAUGAUGAUCCUGGGUCUUCAACAGGACAAGAUGCAAGUUACAGUGUGGUGUGAGGUCUGUGCAUGGCGCAUGUGUCUCAAUGAUUCCUCAGCAACAUCAGACCUUCUUGAAGGAGAGCACAUGGCGAGACUUCCUAGGCUCAACUACACUACAGAGCAGCUGAUAAUUUCUUUAUUCACAGAGGUCCGGCUUCCUUGGGAUUACUUUAAUUGGAGUUUGGCAAGCAAUAAUAAUUUAACAUGUGGCCUGGCAUGUGUUCUUGCCCCAUUUCAGAACUACAGGCUACAUUCGUAGCAAAAGGAAGAGUAAUCCAGUUAUUUCAUUGUGUAUGGAAAACAACAUCAAAAUUUAGUAACUUGAAAUAUCCACAUUAAUUUUGCACUCUAUAAUUUGAAGGUUGAGAAAUUAACUGCAG